rnacentral:lncRNA from 1 species
AGCCAAGAUUGCCCCACUGUACUCUAGCCUGGGCGACAGGGAGACACUUGGUCUCAAAAAAAAAAAAAAAAAACAGGCCGGGCGCCGUGGCUCACGCCUGUAACCCCAGCACUUUGGGAGGCCGACGCAGGAAUCAUCUACUUGGGAGGCUGAGGCAGGAGAAUGGCUCAAACUCGGGAAACGGAGGUUGCAGUGAGCUGAGAUUGUGCCACCGCUCUCCAGCCUGGGCUACAGAGUGAGACUCUGUCUCAGAAAAAAAAAAAAAAAAAAAAAAAAAAUUAAAUAAGUAAAUAAAUAAGCAGCCGCAUGACCCAUGCAUUUAAGAGCAGCGACUGGCCAAGAACAUGAUCUGUAUCAGCAGCAGCUUUUGAGAAUCUGAUGAAAUCCCCAGAGCCCCAGAAGGGCGCCGGUGUGUUCCAGCUGGUGCACGUUCACAGGGCUUGUCUCCAGGAGCGAAGAUGCCAUCUUUUUCCCCCCCUCAGAGCGUUUAUGGGGAAAAAGAUGGAAAUGUUCAAGCCCAGUCCGUACUGAGAAGCAAAUCGAACUUC